rnacentral:lncRNA from 1 species
AACUACGUAACAGGACAAUUCAAUAUCACAUUAAAACAUACACAAACAAAUUAUCUUUUUCAAAACACAAUAUAUCUUAAAAUCAAAUUGUGACUCUUUGUCCUUGACGUUUGGUCGAAUUCAUUUCGUCCAGUGCCUUUAUGUCCUACAGUUGACAGAUUACAGAGUUAUACAAUUCUUAUACAAAAUAUUGAAAACGUGUGGUGGAUCUGUACGGUGCAAUGUGACCAAUGAUUAAAAUCAAAUAAAAUAAUUUAUCAUAACAUUAACACAAUGUUGCUACAAUCUAUACAGUAAUGCAAUUUUGUUAAAUAAUGCACGUCUGCUUAAUGAACGGGGUCUCGGUGGCCAAGUUAACUAAUAAAUAUUGACUUUAAAACUGACUAGUAUGUCAACAUUGAUCAAAAUACAGAUCCUGUGUCCAAGCUUUGUCAACACUGAGUUCGUGAGAUCGAACACCGCAAGAAGCAGGUGCGUUCAAUUUCAAUCUUUAAUAAUUGACUAAUUGACAAUCAUACCACAUAUUCUUUUUUUUACAGGGUUGUCAGUUUUCCUGCCGACUAUAGUUCUUUCAGGGCACUCAACUAAUAAAAGUUGACCGCAACGUCAAUAGUGCUGUAAGUGGCGUUAAACACAAACAAACACUCAAUCUUCUAAAUUUUAUGAUAAAUAACGACAUCGUAAGGAUCUACUAAUGAUGUAACAGUAUUUUCAUUUUAGUGAAUGAAAAAUGAUUUUAAUUUUGGAUGUAACGCGUUUUCUGGUUGGCAGACAGUGUAAUGUCUGUCAGCUCAUGCAUAGACAUUAUUUUGUCAUAUGAUCGUGACGUCAUCAACGUUUUUUCACGAAUUAUCCCGGCUUAAAAUGGAAUUUCAAAUUAAGCCAUAACGAAUGACUGUCAUAUUUUUCUGUCUAUUCGAAAUCUGGUGACACUUUCAAGUAAACGACUACGCGGUUUAUUCAAUGUACACCCAAUUUUGUAUGUUGUUUCUACUUAGACAGAGAGAAAAAAUGACAGUUAUUCCUUAUAUAUCACAAGUGUCUUAAGUUUUUACAUCGUUAUGGCUUAUAGGUUACAGGAAGUUGCAUAUCAUGCACACAUUGUAUAUACAUAAAGUUUUAUCUUUAAAACAAGCCACACUUAUUCAUCAUUUACUAACUAUUAAAAUGAUAUUGGUCCUUUAUUCAAAUGAAUAAAGUAAAUGUACAACGACUAAUGUCUGCAUGUCAAUUUGAAAACUCAAAUUAUACAAAUUGCAAAUUGCACAAAAGUUAUAUAAAUGAAAAAUAUAUAGUAGUACUUUGUAUAAUAUCAAGGUGAAAUACAACAUAGAAAUAUUAUAUUUACUUCCAUAAUUACAAUAAAUAUAUAAAUUAAAAAUGACACUCAUUCUCUUAUGUAGGUAAGGCAUGGUGUGGUUGUUGUGCUUUGACACAACCUUAAAGAUUCAAGCAAUGUUGGAAGACGUGUUGGUGGAAAUGGAAGAAAUCUUUGGUCGUUAUGAAUGCGUUUAUGCAAUUUAUAUAAAAUGAAUUAUAAUGCGAGAGACAUGAAUUUGACUAGAGUUAUGGCAGUAUAUUCGUGUUAUAUUGAGUAUUUACGUGCUAUCCGUUGGUUUAAUUCACGAAUAUAACAAGUGAGUACCACUUGCAUAAAUUAAUUGUAAUAAGUUAAUACCCCCAUCCAAAGUAUCUUAAACUUUAAAUUCAGAAAUUAAUGCGUUCAUUUAUUUCUGCGAUUUUUGAAGAAUGGACAAAAAUGCAAGAUUGGUCAUUGCGAUUUCAGGAAAAUGUGCAUACAGAUAUAUGCGUCAGAUAUAAAAAUGCAAGUUCUUAUUAUUGCGAUACUCACCCAGUCGCAAUAUCCACAUUUUAUAAAAACUCCGCAAUCAUAUGUAAAUUUUCAGUAUCACAAAUAGGAUAUUAAUUCACAGUGCGAAAACUAUAUAUUUUGGAUUGCAUCGAACUUUUUAAAUCAAUACUCGCAAAUUAGAAAAAUGGCCAUUCAACAUGUUCAAGGAAGCGUAUGAUUUUCAUCUUAUCAUCUGACAACCACCAUUUUCCCCAAGUAAAUGAACCAAUCUUGUAUAAAUAAUCUGAUGCUUGAAACGAAGUUGCUCACAAAAAUGUGUUGCCUGUUAACUGAUUUAUUGCACUUAAAUUAAAAUAUUUUUAUAAAAAAUUGUGAUUUUAAACCCAAACUGAGUUAUGAAAUUAGGAUAACUUAUUUGGGCGAGUGGACCCAAUUGGUUUUUACCAUAAACAUGAUUGCCCACUAUACACGUUGACAAAAUAUUUAGAUAAUUACUCUAUGAUCACAAAUUAUGCUUCAAUUCUUAUCACAUUAGCUGUCACCUAAAGCACCACUUCCAUACAAAGCAAGUAUUAAUAUAAUAAGUGCUAUUGCAAUUAUUAUAACGCCGACGAGUAUAUAAGUCAUUCUUUUAGACUUCUUUUUAGCUUUCUGUCGAGUUUUUACUGCAAGCUUUUUAAAUUCGGCAGUC